GUUUUUAUAGUUGAAUACAACAGAAAUUUUUCAGAUUUCAAGUCUAGGUUAAAGGCCUAGUAAGAACU
rnacentral:tRNA from 1 species